rnacentral:rRNA from 1 species
UACGUAGGGUGCAGGCGUUAAUCGGAAUUACUGGGCGUAAAGCGUGCGCAGGCGGUCUUUUAAGUCAGAUGUGAAAUCCCCGGGCUUAACCUGGGAACUGCGUUUGAAACUGGAAGGCUAGAGUGUGGCAGAGGGGGGUGGAAUUCCACGUGUAGCAGUGAAAUGCGUAGAUAUCUGGAGGAACACCGGUGGCGAAGGCGACAUCCUGGACCGGUAUUGACGCUGAGGCGCGAAAGCCAGGGGAGCAAACGGG